CGUUUCCUGCAAUAUAGUUAUAUAAUUUCUCAGGGAAAAUCUAGAUAAAUAUUAUGCCCCAGCUUACAAACAUUGCUGCAGAAGUAUUUAUGUUGGAUUCAAUGCAGAAUCUCGUUGGUGCUUCAAGGUUCAAAUUCAGCUUUAAUCUGUCCACAUCAUAUAUAUACUGCAGAGCGACAGUUCGAUUAUACAAGUUUGGGCCAGACAUUUGAAUAUCUCUAUUCAAUGGAUCAUGUGGAAGACAGUAAAUAUAUGCUGUCUACUGCGUUGGUGUACGGUCUUACCAGUGAAGGUAUUCUCUUUUGGUUGGAUUGCUUGGACUUGGUGAGUCGGGAUCCACCAUCACCUAUUGGGAUUGUCGUCUUGAUCCCAGUAAGAAGAAUAACCAAGAGGUCUAUUAAUUGGAAUAAGCAUGGUGGGAUGAGAAUACUAUACUGCAGUGAUAAAAAAAUGCCAGUAGUUCUCCUAAAAUCUUCCUUGUGGCCUGAACACUCAAAACUGACCGAAUGCCUCUUUCCUCAAAGCUGUUGUAAACAGCAAAGGCCAUGUGUUGGCAAUGCAACACUUUUUAAGAUCUGUUUAGAUUUACAAAAGUAAAUUUGGACAAAGCAAAGUUUAUGUGGACUUCACUCUCCUGAUACUGCAUCUGCAUGCUCACCUUACUAGCAUGCUGCAGGUCUCCAGCUAUUCAAGUCCCGGCAUUUUCUGCAUUAGAACUCAUAAGAUGGAGCAAGAAGCUUAACAGCACUAUUUGAUUAGAGAAGUACCACCGCACCUGAAACCGGAGGUUUGUGGAUACACAGUCUUGAUCCUUGACCGACGAAUAAAGCAGUGCCGCCCUUCACGUGGGCAUAUCCCAUUGGUCCAGCCACUCCAAUGGUGCAUCGAACUCUGAAAAUGAUAGACAUCACAUGGGCUAUCCAAGUACAGACACGGACAUUUGACAGGGAUACUUCCCGGAAGGAAUUGCAUGAAACAGACAUGCAUAUGGAGGGGAAAACUUCCAGAAACGGAAAAGCAAAUCCUGUGAGGUUUGGGAUUUUCAUGGAAAAUCUGGUACUUGCUUGGUUGCUGCCUUCUUCAAUUAAUUGCUGCUGGAAAACUGGAUUUUGCUGCCGUCUGCUCCUGUGCUCCCACAAAGAGAAGCUUUCAGAGUUCUAAGCAAGCAUAGACAUCUAUGAGUAUUACCUGGAGAUAUAUGUAGUUGGGACAUUGAGCCUCUGGCAUGGCAAAUCUGUUUACUCCUCUGUCGAAGUGAACAAUCCUUACAUGGCAAGCCAGCAGGACACCAUCCAAGACUAUUUGUUCGGGCAGUGCUCGCAAUGUACCACAGUAGUACCCCUGCAUACUAGCCAUUGCCUCCUGUGCUAUAGUUAUAGUGCAGCCUUUUUUCUUCUCGUGAUGGAGAUAUAGGCUGCCAUGCCAUGCCAGUCUAACCGAUCACUCAGAAUCUGGGCAUGGAUGGGGAAAUCCUUCCGGAAACGACCAGAUUUGAGGAUCCAGCCAAGGCCUAACGUCUGAUCAGCGUCGAUGAGCUAGCAUUAUUUUGUCACUUGCUGCCAGUGCCAGGUAGCGUGCGUGCGGCAUAGCUAGGUACAUGUGCUGCAACUUGUAGAUUGCCUCCUCCAUCUCAGUGUGCUGCCAGUGUUUUCUCGACCCGAGUGCCGUGCUCACAGAUGGGGUCAUGGAGACAUGCUGAAAAAAAUGCAUAAUCGUCGCUAGCUUGCUUGGUCUCACUUGAUCCGCUUGUGCUCUGUUGCAUCGCCAUCUUAUCAGUUUCCUAGAGAUCUGGAGGAGGAAGAUCAGGUCAAUGGAGGAAAGAGGAGACGAAAGGUGCUGUCAUGCACCCUACGUCGGCGCGACAGAGCGCUUCUAGUCGCAGCAACUAGUCACGAAGUGUCGAGAAAGGUUUGAUCAACAAUCAAAGCAACAUGCACGGUUAAUCAGGGUAACUCGGAGUCGUGUCGUUUGACUGAUUAGCAAGGGUGAUUGUACCUCUAGCCCAAGAGAUCUAAUCUCAGGUUUGACGUUCUGUGUUGCCUUGAUAUUAGAUAUAGUUCUCAAUCUUUACGAGUGAACAAAAUAUGAGGUAUGUUGUCACAAAAUAAUAUCAUUGAGAAAUGCUUUUCAACACCCGUUAA